rnacentral:lncRNA from 1 species
GGCAUCAAGACAAUUAAAUAUUCUAAAACGUAUGGGUAAAUAUGUAAACAGGCUAGGUAGGUUAACAGCACACUACUCAUUCAUACUUUCGAACUUUAACUAUUGUCCAGUAAUUUGGCACUACUGUAGUGAAAAAAAUUCUUUUAAAAUGGAAAAAAUUCAAGAAAGAGCUCUAAGAUUCAUUUAUGAAGAUUAUGAUAUUCCUUACGAAAAAUUGCUAGAAAAAUCUAAAUUACCAUCUUUAAAAAUAAGAAGAAUAAAAACAAUUUUUUUUUAAAAACAGUUGUUGGCAUGACACGGGUUAUGUUCUUCUCAUAUAUGUUAUGAUGGUAUGAUACUAAACCCCUAACGGGAAGGAUUGUGCCUGAUGUUCAUAUGAUGAAAUCAUAAUCUUUCAGUCAGUUUAAUUGAAGUCUGGAGCUGGCAUGUCAGUCAACUGCUAGUAGUCUGUUGUUAUUUAUGUAUUUUUGUCAUUUUGUUUAUUUUCUUUGGUUACAUCUUCUGACAUCAGACUCGGAUUUCUCUUGAACUGAAUUUUAAUGUGCGUAUUGUUAUGCGUUUACUUUACUACAUUGGUUAGAGGUAUAGGGGGAGGGUUGAGAUCUCACAAACAUGUUUAACCCCGCCGCAUUUUUGCGCCUGUCCCAAGUCAGGAGCCUCUGGCCUUUGUUAGUCUUGUAUUAUUUUAAUUUUAGUUUCUUGUGUACAAUUUUGAAAUUAGUAUGGCGUUCAUUAUCACUGGACUAGUAUAUAUUUGUUUAGGGGCCAGCUGAAGGACGCCUCCGGGUGCGGGAAUUUCUCGCUACAUUGAAGACCUGUUGGUGACCCUCUGCUGUUGUUUUUUAUUUGGUCGGGUUGUUGUCUCUUUGACACAUUCCCCAUUUCCAUUCUCAAUUUUAAUUGCAAUAGAAACAUUUAAUUUUUUGAUUUGAUUGAUAUAAAAAUUAACAAGUAUGAUUUAAGAUCACAGGAAACAGCAGUACUCCCAAGAGUUCGAACUACUAAAUAUGGCUUAAGAUCGUUUCGCUAUAAUGCUGCACAAAUCUGGAAUGAGCUACCGAACCAUUGUCGAGUGGAAACAUCUUUUGACCAAUUCCAAAAAUUGGUACCAACAUGGGAUCCAAGU